GAUGAACGCUAGCGGCAGGCUUAAUACAUGCAAGUCGAGGGGCAGCACGGUUAGCAAUAACUGGUGGCGACCGGCGCACGGGUGCGUAACACGUAUACAAUCUACCUUAAACAGGGGGAUAGCCUUUCGAAAGAGAGAUUAAUACCCCGUAAUAAAUUGAACGGCAUCGUUUGAUUUUGAAAGCUCCGGCGGUUUGAGAUGAGUAUGCGUCUGAUUAGCUAGUUGGUGAGGUAACGGCUCACCAAGGCGACGAUCAGUAGGGGAUCUGAGAGGACUAACCCCCCACACUGGUACUGAGACACGGACCAGACUCCUACGGGAGGCAGCAGUAAGGAAUAUUGGUCAAUGGAGGCAACUCUGAACCAGCCAUGCCGCGUGCAGGAUGACGGCCCUAUGGGUUGUAAACUGCUUUUAUACAGGAAGAAACGACCCUUGCGAGGGGCAUUGACGGUACUGUAUGAAUAAGCACCGGCUAACUCCGUGCCAGCAGCCGCGU
rnacentral:rRNA from 1 species